GGCCUAUUGGUUAAACUGGUUAAUACUAGUCUUGGGGUCACUAGGAGGGGGUUCGAAUCCCCCUCUAGCCA